CCUACGGGAGACAGCAGUGAGGAAUAUUGGUCAAUGGACGCAAGUCUGAACCAGCCAUGCCGCGUGCAGGAAGACGGCUCUAUGAGUUGUAAACUGCUUUUGUACGAGGGUAAACGCAGAUACGCGUAUCUGUCUGAAAGUAUCGUACGAAUAAGGAUCGGCUAACUCCGUGCCAGCAGCCGCGGGAAUACGGAGGAUUCAAGCGUUAUCCGGAUUUAUUGGGUUUAAAGGGUGGGUAGGCGGUCGGAUAAGUUAGAGGUGAAAACCCGAGGCUCAACUUCGGAAUUGCCUCUGAUACUGUUCGGCUAGAGAGUAGUUGCGGUAGGCGGAAUGUAUGGUGUAGCGGUGAAAUGCUUAGAGAUCAUACAGAACACCGAUUGCGAAGGCAGCUUACCAAGCUACUUCUGACGUUGAGGCACGAAAGCGUGGGGAGCAAACAGGAUUAGAUACCCCAGUAGUC
rnacentral:rRNA from 1 species